UUAAUUAGCAUUAUGUAUCUACAUACCAUAAAUGUUAAUGGUACUCUCUAAGUAAAUAGAAUUACACACAUACAUUGACCAAUCAUAAAGCAUAUUUAAUUUCUGGCAAGCUGACGUAACCAAUGAAAAAAGAUAACCUGUUCAAUCACUAUGUAAAAAAGCACCCUGAUUUUAUACCUUCAAUAUAUGAAAAAUAAAAAAUAUGAAAUUGUUAAACAAUGCGAUAACUAUGCACAGCGAAUUUCAUUAUUUCAAGAAAUAUUGACGAAUAAUAGAGCGAUCAUUUUGUAUGAAUAUUAUAGAUAGCAAGAGGUAAUUUAAUGUAUACAUUGGUUAAAAAAGUAUAAUACGUUGAAGAAUAUUCUUCUGUACAUAUACAGUAAAACCUGGUUUCGUGCGGUUCUUUUUUAUGCGAUUUUAUUUUUGUGCGAUUGGUUUUGUGCGAUUUUAUUUUUGUGCGAUUGGUUUUGUGCGAUUUUAUUUUUGUGCGAUUUAUUUUUAUGCGGUAUAUGAAUCUUAGCGGCGUUAGCACCAGUUUAAUGUUUUCUAUCAAUGUACAUAUAUGUACAUUGGUGUGGAUGAACUCUGAUUACGUGGUCUCUUUGACAACGAUGUAUCUGGACUUCGCGAUGCUCUGUUCAUUUGUUUUAAACAAUCUUCUGACAAGGCAGAGUCAGUUACGUACAUAUUGUCGCUCGACGCGCGAACAGUAUACGCUUCGUAUUCAGAGUUUUAUUCACGAUUCACGUGAUUAAGGAUUCAUUUUAUAGUGAGAUUAAAGACAUAAGUACUCCCUUAAAAUGAAUAAUUAUAGCCAAAAGAAAGUAAAAAGGCAGACAAUUCCAUUAGAAACAAAAAUUCUAAUAUCCACAACUGUUGCUAACGAAUUUAAAUUAGGUGAAUCCACGAUCAGAGCUAUAGCACAAACGAGAGCUGAGAUCAUCCAUGUCUCGUUAUCGUGACGUUUACAAGAAAUUGACUAGUCAACCGUCACAAAAACUCAUUACUGACUUUAUGAUACCAAAAAACAAAUCAAUUGAAAUCCUAUCUUCAAGCGACGAAAGUGAUUUUGAACCAAUUCAUCACAAUAUAGCACAGACGUGCGAGUAAAAUAUAUGAAUCUCUUAAUAGUGCAACAUACGACAGUAGUAAAAGAGCAUCAUAUUCGAGAAAUAUUGUAAUAGAGAAGACGGAAAAAGCUCUCGUGUUGUGGGUUAAAGAUUUACCUAAAAAACGAAUCCCCGUUCACAAAGAAUUAAUUCAAGAAAAAGCUAGACAGUAUUUCAACCAACUGAAGGAUUUAGAACUAAGUUCGUCAUCCUGUUUACGAAAAUUGAAAUUUUCGUAAGUGAAAUUUUCUGCGAGCAAUGGCUGGUUUGCUGGAUUUUUACAACGAUACGCACUUCACAAUGUGAAGAUAUAAGGCGAGGCAGUGUCCGCCGAUGAAACAGCUGCUAUAAAUUAUGGCAAAGUAUUAGCGGAAAUCAUUGAUGACGGUGGAUAUUGCCAAACUGUCAAUGAUAGUGACAUUAUAAAUAGUUUGAUAGAUUAUGAAAAUGGACAAGAAGAACCGGAACCUAUUAUAGCAGAUAAAAUAUAUGCAGGGAUCCAGAUUUCUAAAAAAUUGGAAACGCAUUUUCUUAAAAUAGAUACCAAUGCGGAAAGACGCUUAAAAUUUCAAAAAAAGCUGAGUUCAUGCAUGUCUCGUUAUCGUGACGUUUACAAGAAAUUGACUAGUCAACCGUCGUUACAAAAACUCAUUACUGGUACCAUUACUGAUUUUAUGGUACCAAAAAACAAAUCAAUUGAAAUCCUAUCUUCAAGCGACGAAAGCGAUUUUGAACCAAUUCAUCACAAGAUGCGCGUUUUGGAUUACGACGAGUAGCACCAAACUAUUUAAUGUAUAAUUUGAAAACUUCUCCAUGUAUAUGUACAAUGAAGAAUUAAAUAUUCUUACAAUUUCUUCAGGUCUAAUUUAAUUAUUUAAUUUAAUUGAAAGCAUUCUCUCAUCUAUUUCAUAAGUCAUUGAUGUAUUUUCUAAGUCCGACUUUUUUUAUGUGGUCCCUGUCCACCGCAUAAAAAAAAUUUUAGGUAGUAUAUCGUACAAAGUUGUUUAUUAUAUGUAAGAAUUUAUAAAAUUUCCGAAUAUUUUUUUGUACGAUUUCUUUUAUGCGGUUCCUAUCCACCGCACAAAAAUAGGUUUUACUGUAACGGUUAUUGAGUGAUUAAUCAAAGAUAAAAAAUAAAUAAAGAAACCACAAAGAAGGACGUAAAUGGGCAGUGUCAAACAAAUCUUUUAAUCCACGUCAUAUUCAUUAUGCCCGAUAUAAAGAAAUUCUUUUCAUAAAUCAACAGUUGCAAAGGAUAUAUGUAUUAUAAUAAUAUAUUUUGAUGAGAGAUAGAUUCGUAGGUAUUUAAAUUGCAACGUGUUCCUCCGAAAGUUUAACGUAACUGAUUGAAAUGUAAUGCUUAAAGGUUUAUGCAAUUUCUGCAAAAUGAUUGUUGAAAUAAAUGAUCUAUUCCAAAAUCAUUACGAAGCAUUAGAAUUUACUUCAACAGACGUAUUUCUUAUUUGUGUUAUAUUAUAGUAUACACAAUUAUUUGUUUUAAUGAAAAUUCUAAUGUGCGUAUAGACAUGGUUUAUAAUAAAAUAAAAUAAAAUAAAAACGAAGUGACCUAUACGAACGAAUGUUCGUGGCAGGAUGAAAAAGGAUCGCUUUUUAACGAUCAUAAGUGCUAUGAAUAAAUCAAUAUUCAUAAUAAAGAGUCAUAUUUGUAUAAACUACAAAGUAAAAUACAGUCAGAUAAAUGUGUAGAAUAAAGGCAAAUUAAUUGCUUUCUCAGUUUGCCAAUUUGUCAUAUUUCCUUUUUCUGCCUUCUUCUUUUCUUCAUCAUUUCGUUUUCUCCCUGGACAUUCGGUUUGUCCAAAUUGCGAAUACAGCGAACAUUUAUGGGAAAAGAUGUGUCAUAAUUAACAAAAAAAGGAGGAAAAAGAAAAAAGAAAGAAAAAGAAACGAAAA